rnacentral:lncRNA from 1 species
CUGUAACACCCCGAGGUCCACAAACACCCCGGAAUGAUACUAAACAACACUUCUGACAUCUAUAUAUAAAAUUUCGGCAGCAUCCCCUUUGCAAAAUUGCAUAAAUGAGGGAGCAACAGUGUAUAAACAUAUAUCAUGACAAGAACAUACUAAGUAUUAUUAAUCGGCUAGCAAAGAGAAGUUAAACAUACAACAUGAACUAAAUUAACUAGUGCGCACGACUAGUUAAAAAAAACAAACUUCCUUUGACAAUAAAUUUCUAAUUAAAUCAUGGCUGCGCCUGGGCAGCGCUAUUGUGAGAGUGAAAGUGGACGUGCUGCUACUCCCCUCAUUCCCAACAUGUAUCAAGUACCUGCAUUGAGUAAUGCAAGAGUGAGAUGACACAUCUCAGCAAGUAAAAUAAUAUCAAAUUGUUUAACCACAUAAGAACAUUGUUUUACCACCACUUGAUUCCACAACCUUCUUAUUACGAAGGUGCAGCACGUAUACAACGUACAACACACCUAGUCACCACACCUCGCAGGUAGAAACCACAAUAGUAACAUAGUAAUGUCACACUUCAUAUAUACCUCAUGAGUGCAAAUGUCUGCAAAUGCAAGGAUGACUUCUGCCUUCAUACCUCUAAGGAUAUGAAGCCGCAUCGUACCCCUCCUCGGGCAACGUACGAUGCUAAAAAUGUACCGGUACAGUCGGACCAUAAGAUCACGACAUAACUUCAGAAUGCAAGAUGGAUGAUGCAAUGUGCAUGACAUGCCUACAACACUUCAUAUAACGUGAUUCAAAAAAAAAUACUUCAACUCCAUCCAUGAUGGGAAUCAACCACAUAUAUCAUUACCAAAUCAUGAUCAUCCACAAUAUUAGACAAUUGAGAAUUAAUACUUUCGAACAAAUAAACUUCAUCAUAGAAUUCAAUGAUUAACAUAUUUAAAACUUAUGCAUACUCAAUGACAGGGAAUAGGAUGCAAACCAAACGGUAGCAACCACCACUGUAUUUACUUGCCUUUACCGGAAGUUUGGGCAAAUCCCUAAGUACGAUCCGGAAGUCCACCACCUGUUUUUGACACACAACUUAGUGCACCAAUUUCACAUAACCAGGCUCAUAAACGACGCCGCACCUACGCACAAACUCAAACCCCGCCGCGGGUUACAUCUCUCCCCACACCCACCAAACUGCAGCGGCGCUGCUUAAUAAUUUCAUAACUUCAAAAUUAUGACAGCAUUGGUAACAAACAAAAACUCCAGAGGCAUCUACAUAAAAUUCCCCACAAGUUUUGUAUACAAUUUAUAAUUAAAUUCCAACAUCUAAUUAGCCCAAAACAGUUCACAAGAUGAACCCUGUAAUCUGUUUUUUUCUCUUUUGGACAGCGACAUACCCGGAUUCAAACCGCGAUAUCUUUUAAAAUAUAAUUCCAAUUCAAGCGCAUAAGUACUCAUUGGAAAGAUAAGACAAAGCCAUACAUGAUUAUCAUACUGGUUAGCACUAAUUAACCACGAAAAAUUCCCAGAAACUGCUAAUACUACUGCUGUUCACCCACCUGAAAAAUCUGUUUUUUUUUACAGCAACAUACCCGGAUUCAAACAGCGAUAUCUUUUAAAAUAUAAUUCCAAAUCAAGCACAUAAGUACUCAUUGGAAAGAUAAGACAAAGCCCUACAUGAUUAUAAUACUGGUUAAUACUAAUUACCCACGAAAAAUUCCCAGAAACUGCUAAUACUACUGCUGUUCAUCCACCUGAAAAAUCUGUUUUUUUGGACAGCAACAUACCCGGAUUCAAACAACGAUAUCUCCUAAAUUAUAACUCCGAAUCGAGCGCAUAAGUACUCGUUGGAAAGGUAUGACAAAGCUCUACAUGAUUAUCCCACUGAUUCCCACUAAUUACCCCACGAAAAUUCCCAGAAAUCCCUAGAACUACUGCUGUUCACCCACUCACAAAAUUCCUGGACAGCACCUCUACCGAUUCGCAAAGAUAAACACAUAAUCCAAUUGAUUGCAGCACAAAAACAACAAAAGUUAAUCACAAAUUCACCUUAGGUUCCUCCCUUUCUCCUUCCUUCUUCCUCCCUCCAAACUCCAAUUGAGAUCGCAGCCACACGACGGAGAACCACACGGGAGGGCUGCACCUUGGAGGAUGGGGAGAAAUGGGGGUGCGGCUAGGGUUUUGGGUGGUGAGGGCUGCAAAGGUUUGAGGAGGAAGAAGAUGGGAGAGGGGGGGCGUCCAAGAGAAAGGGGAGGGGAAGGGGCGGCUGCAACAACCCAAGGGGGAAAAAGGGGGGGCGGCUAGGGUU